UGGGUGAUCUGCCCUGCACUUCGGGAUAAGCCUGGGAAACUGGGUCUAAUACCGGAUAUACCUCAUUGAUCUCCUGGUUGGUGGGGGAAAGCUUUUGCGGUGUGGGAUGGGCCCGCGGCCUAUCAGCUUGUUGGUGAGGUAAUGGCUCACCAAGGCGACGACGGGUAGCCGGCCUGAGAGGGUGACCGGCCACACUGGGACUGAGACACGGCCCAGACUCCUACGGGAGCAG
rnacentral:rRNA from 1 species